rnacentral:lncRNA from 12 species
UGAGUUUUCUGGGGGACGUGGGGCCAUGUCCAGGCUGACAGGAGCCCCCGGCCUCCUGAGGACCUGCUGUGAGGCUUCCAGAGGAUGUGAGGCAUAGUCCACAGUGACAGGAGACCCGGCGUCCUCAGGACCCGCUGACUAUGACUCAGGAACACGUGGGGCCACGUCCACACUCACAGGAGCCCGGUUUCCUCAGGACCCCUUGGAGGAAUCUGGAGGAGCCAUUGGGGGCCACGUCCAUAUCAGAAGGGACUCCUCAGAACCACAGUAAUUUAUGGGGAAGCCGUGUGUUGGGCUUCUUUUCCGUCGGACGUUUCCGAAGCUAACAGGCCACAGCUGGAACCUGGAAAGAGGCAGAGGUCGGCCGGGGAUGGGCAUGUGCCUCCUGCACAGCCUCCUGUAGUGCCUGAGGAUCCCGCAGGGGGGCGCCCGAUCCCAGGCACCGCGGAAGGGGCACACAUGUGCAGUAGGCCUCGUCAGCCUGAACUAACAGGAGCCAGCCUGUGCUGGGGAGGCCUGAGGAAGACGUGGGGACAUGUCCACGCUGAUGAGCCGCAGCCUCCUCAGAAUCUGCGGGGGUCUUCAGGGGGAUAUUGGGCAGCAUUCACGCUGACAGGAGCCCUGGUCUCCUCAGGACACACGGACCUGCACUUUGGCUUCGGGACACAUGGGGCUGCGUCUAGGCUGACAGCAACCCACAGCCUCCUCAGGACCCGCGGUGAGUUUUCAGGGGACAUGAGGCCAUGUCCAGGCUGACAGGAGUCCCUGGCUUCCUGAGAACCUGCUGUGAGGCUUCCAGAGGAUGUGAGACAUCCAGAAGGAUGUUCCUCCUCCUUCCAGAGGAGGCAUACUCCACGUUGGCAGGAGAUCCGGCGUACUCAGGACCCACUGACUAUGACUCUGGAACACGUGGGGCCAUGUCCGCAUUUACCGGAGCCCAGCUUCCUCAGGACCCCCCUGGAGGACUCUGGAGGCGCCAUUGGGAGCCAC